rnacentral:rRNA from 1 species
GAUGAACGCUGACCGAAUGCUUAACACAUGCGAGUCUACUUGAACUUCGGUUUGGGUGGCGGACGGGUGAGUAACGCGUAAAGAACUUGCCUCACAGUUAGGGACAACAUUUGGAAACGAAUGCUAAUACCUGAUAUUAUGAUUUUAGGGCAUCCUAGGAUUAUGAAAGCUAUAUGUGCUGUGAGAGAGCUUUGCGUCCCAUUAGCUAGUUGGAGAGGUAACGGCUCACCAAGGCGAUGAUGGGUAGCCGGCCUGAGAGGGUGAACGGCCACAAGGGGACUGAGACACGGCCCUUACUCCUACGGGAGGCAGCAGGGGGGAAUAUUGGACAAUGGACCAAAAGUCUGAUCCAGCAAUUCUGUGUGCACGAUGACGUUUUUCGGAAUGUAAAUUGCUUUCAGUUGGGAAGAAAAAAAUGACGGUACCAACAGAAGAAGUGACGGCUAAAUACGU